CAGUCGAGCGGACCUUUCGGGGUCAGCGGCGGACGGGUGAGUAACGCGUGGGAACGUGCCUUCCGGUUCGGAAUAACCCUGGGAAACUAGGGCUAAUACCGGAUACGCCCUUAUGGGGAAAGGUUUACUGCCGGAAGAUCGGCCCGCGUCUGAUUAGCUAGUUGGUGGGGUAACGGCCUACCAAGGCGACGAUCAGUAGCUGGUCUGAGAGGAUGAUCAGCCACACUGGGACUGAGACACGGCCCAGACUCCUACGGGAGGCAGCAGUGGGGAAUAUUGGACAAUGGGCGCAAGCCUGAUCCAGCCAUGCCGCGUGAGUGAUGAAGGCCUUAGGGUUGUAAAGCUCUUUUAUCCGGGACGAUAAUGACGGUACCGGAGGAAUAAGCCCCGGCUAACUUCGUGCCAGCAGCCGCGGUAAUACGAAGGGGGCUAGCGUUGCUCGGAAUCACUGGGCGUAAAGGGCGCGUAGGCGGCGUUUUAAGUCGGGGGUGAAAGCCUGUGGCUCAACCACAGAAUGGCCUUCGAUACUGGGACGCUUGAGUAUGGUAGAGGUUGGUGGAACUGCGAGUGUAGAGGUGAAAUUCGUAGAUAUUCGCAAGAACACCGGUGGCGAAGGCGGCCAACUGGACCAUUACUGAUGCUGAGGCGC
rnacentral:rRNA from 1 species